CUCCAUUAGUAACUGUCUUGUUGUUGCAGUUAAGAAGCUCGUAGUUGAAUUUCUGCCUUAUCAUUAAUUUCGCUUCCGAACGUAAUUUUAUUGAUUUGGCAUCUUCUGGAUUAUAUAUUAUUUUUAAUAUAUUUUUCCAGUAUUUUACUUUGAGAAAACUAGAGUGUUUCAAACAGGCUUUUGCCUUGAAUACUACAGCAUGGAAUAAUGAAGUAGGACUAUUGGUUCUAUUUUGUUGGUUAUCGAACCAUAGUAAUGGUUAAUAGGAGCAGUUGGGGGCAUUCGUAUUUAACUGUCAGAGGUGAAAUUCUUAGAUUUGUUAAAGACGAACUACUGCGAAAGCAUUUGCCAAGGAUGUUUUCAUUAAUCAAGAACGAAAGUUAGGGGAUCGAAGACGAUCAGAUACCGUCGUAGUCCUAACCAUAAACUAA
rnacentral:rRNA from 1 species